rnacentral:rRNA from 1 species
UCAGGAUGAACGCUGGCGGCAGGCUAAUACAUGCAAGUCGAACGGUAAGGUCCGAAGUGGCAACACGGAGGAUACACGAGUGGCGCACGGGUGCGUAACGCGUAUGCAACCUGCCCCCGACCGGGACAAAACAGCUGGAAACGGCUGCUAAUAUCCCAUGGUCAUGCGGAAGGGCAUCCUUCUUCAUGUAAAGAUUCAUUGGUCGGGGAUGGGCAUGCGUAUUAUCAGGUAGUUGGCGGGGUAACGGCCCACCAAGCCGACGAUGAUUAGGGGUCCUGAGAGGGUUAACCCCCACACUGGAACUGAGACACGGUCCAGACUCCUACGGGAGGCAGCAGUAGGGAAUAUUGGGCAAUGGGAGCAAUCCUGACCCAGCCAUGCCGCCGUGAAGGAAGACGGCCCUAUGGGUUGUAAACUUCUUUUGCCGCAGAGUAAACCCGGUCACGAGUGGUCGGUUGAGAGUAUGCGGCGAAUAAGUAUCGGCUAACUCCGUGCCAGCCGCCGC